rnacentral:rRNA from 1 species
CCUACGGGAGGCAGCAGUGAGGAAUAUUGGUCAAUGGACGAGAGUCUGAACCAGCCAAGUAGCGUGAAGGAUGACUGCCCUAUGGGUUGUAAACUUCUUUUAUAAAGGAAUAAAACGAGGCACGUGUGCCUUUUUGCAUGUACUUUAUGAAUAAGGAUCGGCUAACUCCGUGCCAGCCGCCGCGGUAAUACGGAGGAUCACAGCGUUAUCCGGAUUUAUUGGGUUUAAAGGGAGCGUAGAUGGGUUGUUAAGUCAGUUGUGAAAGUUUGCGGCUCAACCGUAAAAUUGCAAUUGAUACUGGCAGUCUUGAGUACAGUUGAGGUAGGCGGAAUGCGUGGUGUAGCGGUGAAAUGCUUAGAUAUCACGAAGAACCCCGAUUGCGAAGGCAGCAUACUAAACUGUGACUGACAUUGAUGCUCGAAAGUGUGGGUAUCAAACAGGAUUAGAUACCCCAGUAGUC